CACAACUAGGGUUGCCACAUACGCCAAGUGGAGGAGAAGGGCCUGCUGUGUGCGCGCACCCGACAGUCACUGGCUUCUCUUUACAUCUCCAGUAGGAAGCGUGCACUACGCUGUGGGAACAAAAACACCAGGUGCCUGCUAUGGCCAAGGCAGAUAAGGUCUUUCCCUCCAACAGGAUCCAGAGAUGAACCACUGGUACUAAAACCAAACGGCUGAUGAAUAUGUCUGUUGAGGGACACAUUCUACAAAACAAUGAAGUUUGCUGCAUCAACUGCAUUUUCCUUUCAUGAAAAAUUUCUCUGUACCAUGCAGUGGUGUUUGAUAGCAUGUUACCCCACAGUAGAAUUACUUUCAAAAUCUGA
rnacentral:antisense_RNA from 1 species